CACCCCGCGGUUUCUGGGCAGGCCAAGAGUGCUGGUUUGGGGGGGUGGGGGAUCCGGCCGGGAGGUGCAAUUGCCUCAGUGACCCCACAUCCCAGUCACAGCAGCUGUCCCGGCAGGAGCUUCCUGGUGAGGAAGGAGCAAUCCCAAAUGCAGCCAAGGGAACCACAGCAGGCCCAGAGGAGCAACGCUCUGACACUGACACCGGCAGUCUCGUGAUUUAGGCCUGGAUACACUCAGCCGAAAGCUGCUCAGAGGUCGCUGCAUGUUGCACUCAGAGUCAAAUCUCAUUGUCAGACUUUCUAGAAAUUGCACUCUGCCAAGCUUCCUGCUCUUCUUCAUGGGAACUUGGGAGUACACAGCAAAGCAUCCUGAAGAAUGCAGGCCAGGAGCAACCCAAGCUCAAAGAGAGGCCAGCCUUCUGCACUCCAUGCCUCACCUGUCGUUCCUCAUACCUCCAGGGACAUCUAGCCUCUAUCUUGCUACCAGCCACACUAUUUCUCUUGCCCUAGAAUUCUCCUCUUACAAAUGUCUUGACUCAGCUCUCACGGUCCAACUUAGCUAAACCAGGUCCACUAACCAAUCCCUUUCGCCCUACUUUCCUACAAUACCCCAUCCCCACCAUAUGCUCCCCUCCCCACUACCCCAACUACAAUGCCCUGAUUCUUCCCAUCUCCUUUCAAGAUCCAGUCCACGUUCCAUCUCUUGACACAGUCUUUUCCCAGACCAUGGUGAUCUCUUUCUCCCUUAAAUGUCCAUUAUAAUAAAAACUGAGACCAUGUAA